rfam:Oryza glaberrima chromosome 2 Oglab02_0057_1, whole genome shotgun sequence.
UUUAAGUGCAACUAUAAAUUUCCGUAUCAAACUUUGAUCAUCCGUCUUAUUUGAAAUUUUUUCAUAAUUAGUAUUUUUAUUGUUAUGAGAUGAUAAAACAUAAAUAGUAAUUUAUACGUGACUUAUUUUUUUAAUUUUUUAAAAAAGUUUUCAAAUAAGACGGACGGUUAAAGUUCUGUACGGAAAAUCAUGGCUGCACUUAAA